CGCCUCCUGGCGGUCCAGCUCUGCUUUUGCCAAGCUCCUGCUGAUGCACCUGGGAAGACAGGCAGUGGAAGAUGGCCCAAGUAUCUGGGCGCCUGCUGCUCAUGUGGGAGACCGGACCUGCCUGUUGCAGCCAUUUGGGGACUGAACCAGCAGAUGGAAGGUUCAAGAAAGCCAAGAGAGAAGGAAUAAGGAGACAGUCCCGCAGGCGCUCGUGCCGCUUCCCGCAUUCAGAGCAUGCACGGGG